rnacentral:rRNA from 1 species
GGAGGAUCCGAGCGUUAUCCGGAUUUAUUGGGUUUAAAGGGAGCGUAGGCGGACGCUUAAGUCAGUUGUGAAAGUUUGCGGCUCAACCGUAAAAUUGCAGUUGAUACUGGGUGUCUUGAGUACAGUAGAGGCAGGCGGAAUUCGUGGUGUAGCGGUGAAAUGCUUAGAUAUCACGAAGAACUCCGAUUGCGAAGGCAGCUUGCUGGACUGUAACUGACGCUGAUGCUCGAAAGUGUGGGUAUCAAACAGGAUUAGAUAC